rnacentral:lncRNA from 1 species
GGUGGGUAACUUCCGCCAGACUUUUCUGGAGAUGGCUAAUCCAGCCGUGGGAUGUGGUUUCUUCUAACAGCCAGUCAGGAAAAUCUUGCUUCUCAAACUCCUGUCUUGACCCCUUCCUGAACUUUGCCUCCUGGAUCUUGAGGUCUGCCUUCUGUGGAAGAGAAAUACUAGAAUCAAUGAACUGUGAACUAGAGCCCUGGGAUUAUCAACAGCCAGCUGAAAUUUUGAGAGCCACCUUAUAGAAAGCCUAACAGCAAAGACUGGAGAGAGGCUUCCAGCCAACAGCCAGCAAGGAAUUGAAGCCCUCAGUCCAAUAGCAGUGAGGAAUUGAAUCCUGCCAACAGCCUCGUGGAUGGGUUGCUUGCUGCCUGAAUCUAACUCCUGCUACUACUGCAAAUACCACUGCCAUGAAUAUCCUCAGCAAGACCCCCUUCCAGACCUGCAUGAACAGUUGUGUGAAAUGUAUAUGCACAAAGGGACUGCAAGGGAAGACCCAGAGACUAGGGAAGAACUUGGAACAAUAAUCUCAGUUUCUUCAAUUCCUAAACUUGAGAGUAUUGCUGUUUUUAAAUGAAAGUAUUUUUUCCCCCUAAGCAUUUUGUUCUAAAGUUGAGCUGCCUUUGAGGGGAAAUAAAGAGACUACCAGAUUAAUGGGUUUUUUUCAAAUGGGAUGGUGGGGUAAGGAAUAAUCGGGGUGGUCUGUGGAACAACUUGGAGGAUUGGUGUUAUGUCUCAAGAAGAUAUUCAAGUAUGUUCCUCCUUUUUUACCCAGACCGACUGCUUCAUGCUGGGCUUCAGACAUGAGAGGCUAGGAGUAGGAGGCAUGCCUUGUUCAAAGAUACCCAGUUCUCCCAGGACCAUUUGUUGAAAAGGCAGGCACCUCAUUUUACAGAAGAGGAAACUGAGGCCCAGAAAGAGAAGUGGCAUGCCCAAGGCUGUGCCAGAAGCAAAGUGUAAAAUAGAUCCUGAGCCUCCGACUCCUGGUCUUAAAUGUGGGAAAUAGUCUACAGUUUGGAAGACACCAGAGAAAAAUGCUCCACAGCUCGCCCUGGUGACUCACUACAACUUAUGGGAAGAUGUGAGAUUAUUCUGUAUUCUAAUGUAUGUUAGAAGGCACACUCCACCCAAAGCCUUCCUGUGUGUUCCUCCCUGUGAGCUCACAUCCCGUUCACCAGCUGACUGGGAAGGGAAGUCAGGACCAGCCCUGACCCCAUCACACCAUCAUAACCUCGGGAUGGCAGGGCUGGAAGGCACCUCAGACGUCAUCCUUUGCAGACUCUUCAUUUUACAGUGAGAGGCAUGACGUGUCCACAGCUGGUUAGUGCCAAAGCCUGGGACAGGCUUCACAUUGUCCAGCUCUUAGUCAGAGCACUGUUGACAAUGUCUGCCUUCACUUGGAAUUCAGCACCUGCUUUCAGUAUAAACCCCUGCAUUUCACUAAAACUGAGCAGACUGCUGGUUUAAAAAAGAGAGGUCCAUCCAGCAGGGAUGAUGCUUUUCCUCGUUGAAAGAGGACAUUCACCUAAUGGGAGACCUGGAGUCAGAAUCUUUCUGAUGUGUGACUUGGCACAGUAACACAAUGCAGGAUGCUGGUGUGUUAAUAAAAAUAAAAAUUGCAUCGCCUACCUCAGAGUCGACAACAAUGUCAAGGAGUUAAUAGUCUUGGCAACACAGAGGCCACUGGACAGAGGCAUAACCUUGCGUGGCAGCUGCACGGGAAUUGGAUUUGGCUCAGGUGUUUCAGAUGACUAAGUUGGGAGCAUUUGACAAUUUUAGAUGUGGGAUGAAAAUUGCCUUAUCUAAGACAUAGGGCACCUGCAGAAGUAAAGAGAAACAGAACAAAGGGGACCACUCUUGGUAUAGAAGUUCAUCUCGUCGGGAGCAUCUGUGGUUCUUUUAUAAGCAAUGUACAUUCUACAAUAGAGGCAGACCCAGAAAUAAUUCAGAUAUUGGAGUUAGAAGAUCAGGAUUCUAAAAAAACCAAAAGAUCCUGCCUUACUAUGCACCUAUGGCCCUUCAAAGGCGAGAGUAGAAUCUGCUAUGAUUUAGAAGCAAGCAAUAAAAAGUACACAUCAGAAUUGGAGCCUGCACAGAUGUAGAAGGAGGCAUGAAGAGGGUAUUGGAGGAUUGCCCACUAUGCAGUCUGCAUCCUGAGUCUGUGGUGAGGCUGGACACGUUCAAGCUUACAGGAGAACUGGAGAAAGCAAGCAACACAGCGGUGGAAGUGAGACCACUGAAGGUAAGCUUGGGAGGGGGUCCCGACACCACCACAUCAGUGGAUCCACAGCUAAGUGAUUGGUGGUGGCCUGGGGUUCUGCUGUUUAGCAGGGACAAGAGUGGAGGAGACAAACUGGACUCGGAACAAACUGGGAGCCUCUGCAUCCAUCCGUAACUGUCUGGCCGUGACAGUGGUUAGAGAGGAGUGGCUUCUGUGAAACUCUCACAAUCUCAAAUCUCCCACAAGUGCCUCUUUCAGCUAACUCUAAACUGGUACCAUAGAGGAAAUGGAUUCUGAAAACUUGGUCUCCAACCUUAGACAAAUUGAAUAAUUAAUAUGUCCUCUCCUGCUUCUUCUGUAACUGAAUUUGCAUUGGGAAGCAGGCCUGUCACUCUCAGACUUUGUGGUUUGAGUAGGGCUCACUUCAGCACCACCUUUUCCUCUUCUCAGCCCCACGGACUGGCAUGAGACUCAGGCCUGGCCAACUGAAUGUCACACACCUAUGACCAUCAGUUGGCUCAGAGAUGGACUCAGGACACCAUCACAGCCAAUGAAACCCUGUUAGGGAAAUUUGUCAGAACCAUACAAAGAAAUAGCUCCACUUUUCCAUAGAGAUGAGACAUAAGCCUGGACUAACUGGUGUCCAAUUUGCCAUCAAGAGAGCAUCUGAGAAGACAGAGGAAAACUGGGGAAAGCGAAGUCUAAGGAAGGUGAGUAAGGACAAGUCCAGUUGAUAUUACAUGAAUCACCUGGACCUGGAAAUCAAGGCAUUGCUGGAUUCAAGGCCAAGAAAAAUUGGAAGCUGGCUUGAAUCAGGUUCUAUCACUUGCAGUUGAAAAGGUCCAGACUAAUAUGAUAACAAAGGAGCAAGUAAGCAAGAUUCUGCCCUACAGUAAGUGCUCAAUGCAUGUCAGCUGGUAUUAUUAUUAUACAGACUUCUAUUUCUAGCCCUUUUAUUUCUACCACCUCUCUUCUGUGUUUUAUGUAAAGUGCAUAAGGAUUGUUCUGUUUGGAAACAUCAAACCAUAUAAAAUGACACCAGCAGGUCCCUUUCUGUCUGUCAGUGUCCACAAGCUCAACAACCAGGAUCAGCAGACAAAAACAGCUAAGCUGGAGUCAGUGUUUUUAUGAAGAAACAGGAAAAGAACUUACUUGGGAACUGUAGCUCAUCCUCCAAUAUUCUCCAUCCUAUCACUCUUUUCAUGACAGUUUCUUCUUGGCCCUGAAGUUGCCUUGUCAUGGCUCCCUGCCUCUGUCCUUUCUCUGUCUCACUUACAUCUUCCAAUGAGGAAUACAGCAAGACCUUUGGAUGAGGACCUCCAAAGGUCCUCAGUAUCCUUAGGACACUCGGUGCAGAACUAGAGGGACUGAGAGGAGGAGCUUUUGCAGGUUAAAUGACUAGUGAAUGGCCUUUCCUUAUAUUUCCAUUAGAAAUGGGAUUAGCUACACCUGAGAAGGAAUGACUUUGGAACAACUGAUCCCUAGCUUUCCAAAAUAUGAGAAAUUGAGAUGCAGGGAGUAGUAAGCACCUAGUUAAUGAGUCAAAGCAUAUUUAUAAAGUUCACAGGGUACAUAGCAUAUAGCAGCUGUUCUCUAUCUCAGUUGAGUUUUGACUAGGAAAUGGGCUUAGGAUAAAACACAUAGGCUUUUGAGUAAUCAUUUGUAAGAAAUUGUAGAUAGUGACCACAGUUUAAUAGCAUUAGAUAAAUUAUGAAAAGUCACUGAAAUACCUUCUCUGGAAAAUGUUAGAAGCUCAAGUACAAUGGCUUAGUUAAAGGCAGGUGGGGGAGAAACUUGAAGAAUGUGGUCCAGUACAAGAAUACCCCAUUUUUCCCCUAAGGCAAUGAAAAUGACAUGAAGUAAUCAUAGUUAUUUAUACAGGAACAAUUUAGGAGACUUAGAAUAUUCACUUCUUUUGCCUUCUAGCUGAGCAUCAAAAUUCUCUCUCUGUCUCUGCCUCUCUCUCUCUAUUUUCCACUUCUAGCUCCAACUAUUUUAAAUCCCUCCCCCAAUAGAACUCAUAACAAACAUAAAACAACAUUUGUUGUAUGUUUACAAUAGAUGUUCAAGCUAAUAUUUAUGUAGGCUUAGCCCUGGCAUUAAAUUAAGGUUUGGUUCACCAACAGGGUGCCUAGAGACUUCACCUCUAUUUCCAUGAGGGACUGAACAGCCUCUUGAGAAGGGACUCAUCAAAAUGGAAGAGUUGGCAAUAAGAAGUUUGGCUAAAUAACCAAGCACUGAAGUUGCAGAGGAGAAAGGAUUUGAAAGGCAGUACAGUGUCCAGGGGCAAGUUGGCAAUUUUUAGCAGGAGGUGAAGUGAUGCCAGCAGAGGUAACAGUGCUCAGAGGGACCAGUAGUCCCCAGGAGGAGCAGGGGAAUCCCCAGUGGAUCUGAUUUGUUCAAGAGCACAUGUGAGAUUAUCAGCUGGCGUUACAAUUUUGGAGUGGCAGUGAGAAGCAGUGAAUUUGAGGUCACUCAAUUUGCAGACCCCAAAGGGUGAAAUGUUGAGAAACAUGAGUUACACAUGUAUUUAACAGCUCUUGUGUAUUAUCACAAAUCCUAUUUCACCUCUCAUGCCCCCGAGGCUUUGGUGUCCAGUUCUCUGAAGACUUCAUCAAUCCUCAGCCAUAAAUCACCUGAGAGCAACUCACCUUGCUUCAUACUAUGAAGCUCCCUGAUGUCACAGCAUGGCAGGCCUGUGGCAACCCCUCAACACUUAUGCAUGAUCCCAAACAGCUAGAGGAUUAACACCUACGGUGUAACCCUUGACCAGCAGGAAAUGGAAAUUACUGUCUUUUUGUCCCCGCAGGUGAAUGGUUCUAAAAUGCAUUUUAUAAGCCUUCUGAAAUAGUCCCACAGGUCAAGCACCUACUUGCUCCAGUGGUGACCAACUCAAUGAUGCAUCCUUGGGUUGACUCUCCCUCCUUUCCAGUUCACUUUCCCCGCCCCUCACUCCUGCACCUCAGCAUCACAUUCCUGAAUAAACCACUCACACAUCUGUCUUAUUUCAGACUCUGUUUGGGGGAAUCCACAAUAAAAAUUUGUCAUUUUGAGUUAAACAUUGCUCUCACCUUGAAGACAUAUUUCCAUACCUAGAGAUUUCUGAAGUUCUCUCCCUUUUCCUAUCAUCUCCUUUGUGCUUUGUCUGACCUCCAUGUUACAGAGCCCCAUGAUAUUUAGAGCCAGUACUGCUAGGGAAGUAGUUCAGUUGUGUUUUAAAUGGUUCAGCAACUUGUAACAUCAACUGAGAACCAGAGGAAUACACUUGGAGGCCAAGAAAAAAAUGUUAGCUAAUAUGUACCAUACAGUAUGAUUCCUUGGGUAAGGGAAAGUAUAUGCAAGUGACAGAGGAAAAUUGAAAGUUGUAGCCCUUUUUUGGACUUUAGAUUUGGAAUUAAAGUUUCUCUUCUCUUGAAAGACCUUCUUUUUGUGGAUAAUGAUGAAUCUGAAGACCAGAACAGUGGGCCAAUUUGCCUUAGUUGAGAGUGGCAAAUAAAUGAAGAACUGAAGAACGUAUCUCUUUAACUAGUGCUCCUUUGUUGAGAAGAUACAAAACAAACAAUUGAAGGGUAUGGAUGAAGCCAUUGGCUUAUUCAUGUCUCUGUUGAUCAUAAUGAGAUUAAUAUAUAUAGGACAUUCACACAAAGAGGAUAUUGACUCGAUGGCUUACAGAUUAUUAGAGUUAGAAAUGUGACCUACUACUAAAGGAAGAAUGUUUCAGGUGUGGAUCUCUGAUUUAAAAAAUACACCACACUUGCCUCAGUGAAGCAAGUCAACUUAGGUGCUGAUACAAUGCCACUGCAGCUGUGCUGAGUUCAUGAAAUCAGAUCCCACUCUCUUCACCUACCCCUACCGUAUUCAUCCUACUUUCCGUCUGCUCUGCCCUUCCCAUUUGGUAACCUAGUCAUGAAACACCUGGCUCUGGGUCCUUCCUUCAGCAUCACUCCACGUUGUACUGCUGGCAUCGCUUUUCUUGGCACAGAACCUCUUAGGGCUGCUAUCCUAGGAGUAGGUGCUACUCAGGCUGGCUUAGUCCCAGGCUUCACUCACUUCUUGGCCCAUGGCCAGGAGGACCGGAAAGAACAAACUCUCUGCACAUCUCUGCAGGUGGCCACAGAGCCCCCAUCUGAGCCUUGCUGAUGGAGAAGAGCAUGCUGCAUCACAAGAUAACUGUGUGGCUCUGUUCAAAAACCUUGUUUAGAAGUUAUUAUUUCUUUUAUUGCAUUAGAAUUUGCCUCACUGUAGCUUUUGUGCUUCUGUCCUGGUUCAGCCUUAGAUAGCAGUGCAGCCUGGUCCAUGUGAAAGCUCUUGCAAUAGGCCUUUCUGCUAGUCAGGAGUUCUCAGACCCAUCCCUACUCUUCACUUUUCUCAAGACUAAUAUCAGACUCCUGGGCUCUUCAAGGUUUCCUCAUAUGAUAAAAGUUCUAAGCCCUCCAUUGUCCUAGUCACUGUCCUCUCUGUUCCAUCCCUGUCUGCCCUUCCAAGAUGCUGCACCUGGAGAUGAAUUUGUCCUUCCUGGGGCAAGUCACCAUGAGAUGAUUACUUUUGGAUCAUACUGAAUUUGUGGGUUAAAUAAACUCAUAGGUCUUUAUCUCAUGCACUAAAUCCAAAUUCGAUCUCUUGCCGUAAAUCAUUUUUUUGAAUAGCUGAACAAUAAGUAAAUAAUACACAAAUGAAAACUAAUCAAUAUUUGAACAUCCUCAGUAUUUUCAGCCCUAGUUUGAGCCAGACAUAGCUCAUCUUGUAUACUUCACUAAGGACACUUUAUACGAUCAAGCAAUUAAUAUUAUGAUGUCAUGUCUCGCAAGCCCCAUAGUGUCACUUCCAGUCUCUUCACCACAAAGAACGUUGAAGCCUUCGUAUUUUUUUGAAAAUCAUAUUUCUAGCUGCAGGAUGGGAUGUAAGAAAAGUUCAGAUUAGGAUUAUUCUAGGCUCCUGACUAUAACUAAAAUCCUGAUUUUUUAUGGAAAGGAAUGAGGAUCAUUCCUUCAAAUUAGAUUUUUGUGAUAAAAAGAAAAAAGUUGGUAAUCUAUUCAAAAUUGUAACAAAAAUAACUGCAUUUUUCUUUGGAAAAUAAUAGUUGAUUCCUUUUUGCUUUUUUUACUUAUGAAUUGGGGUGCAAUAGAGUUUAAUAAAAAUGAUGUGAAACACUCUUAUAAGGCUAAUUUAUCACAUUUGCUUCAAGGAAUUGUCCUUUCUAACAAAAUUGUGAAAUGGAACUGAACAGUAGCAUGAUGAGGCCUCUACCAGGAGGAGGUACAGAACAAGGCAGGAGGUCAGUGGUUAAAGGACUCCUUGCUUAUGCUCAAGAAAUGUGGACCUUAUUAGAGGUGACACAGUGAAAUCAGUCACCUGAUUUCGCAGGUGACUGUGGAGCAAGAAUGCAAAUCCACAAUAUUAGGAUGAAUGUGAGAGGAGAAGGGAAGGAGGCCAUGAGGGAAAAAAGGACAUCUAAUUGGGUCUGAAAGGAAGGGUAGAAUUUAAGUAAAGAGCACUGUGUACAUAUGGGAAUACCAUGUACUUUCUCAUGGAGAGAGGCCUUCUGACAGUCCUGCAUUGAUCCUGCUUCUUUGACCAUCCCUUGUUAGCCAGCAGGUCAUUUGGCCUCACUAGUUGCCUCAGUGCUGAGUGAUAGACUCAGCAGUCCCCAGCCUCUUUGGCACCAGGGACUGGUUUUGUGGAAGAUAAUUUUUCCAUGGAUCAGGGAGAGGAUGGUUUCAGGAGGAUUUAAGU